rnacentral:ncRNA from 22 species
ACGUGUUAUAAAAAUACGGUUUAUACACAUGGAAUUAUAGUUCUAUAUGAAAUAGGUUAUUUAUUAGAAGGAUUAAAUGGCUUAUUUUAUUUUUUAAUGUAUAAAAUUAUGUAUAUGGACACAAGUUGUGUUAUUUUGAACAUAAAUUUAAGUGAAUCAAUUCUUAAUGUAUUGAUUUUCGUCUAAAAUAGGUCGUUCAUGACAAGAAUCGGACAUUUCAUUACA